rnacentral:rRNA from 1 species
UACGUAGGGUGCAAGCGUUGUCCGGAAUUAUUGGGCGUAAAGAGCUCGUAGGCGGUUUGUCGCGUCUGCUGUGAAAACUGGAGGCUCAACCUCCAGCCUGCAGUGGGUACGGGCAGACUCGAGUGCGGUAGGGGAGAUUGGAAUUCCUGGUGUAGCGGUGGAAUGCGCAGAUAUCAGGAGGAACACCGAUGGCGAAGGCAGAUCUCUGGGCCGUAACUGACGCUGAGGAGCGAAAGCAUGGGGAGCGAACAGG